rfam:Oryza glaberrima chromosome 11 Oglab11_0291_3, whole genome shotgun sequence.
AAAAAAGCAAACCCUGGGUUUCCGUGUCUAACGUUUGACCGUUCGUCUAAUUUAAAAAAAUAUGAAAAAAAUUAAAAAGACAAGUCACGCAUAAAGUAUUAAUCAUAUUUUAUCAUCUAACAACAAUGAAAAUACUAAUUAUAAAAAAAAUUCAUAUAAGACGGACAGUCAAACGUUGGACACGGAAACCCAGAGUUUGUCUUUUU